GAUGAACGCUGGCGGCGUGCCUAAUACAUGCAAGUCGAGCGAACAGACGAGGAGCUUGCUCCUCUGACGUUAGCGGCGGACGGGUGAGUAACACGUGGAUAACCUACCUAUAAGACUGGGAUAACUUCGGGAAACCGGAGCUAAUACCGGAUGAUAUAUUGAACCGCAUGGUUCAAUAGUGAAAGACGGUUUUGCUGUCACUUAUAGAUGGAUCCGCGCCGCAUUAGCUAGUUGGUAAGGUAACGGCUUACCAAGGCAACGAUGCGUAGCCGACCUGAGAGGGUGAUCGGCCAAACUGGAACUGAGACACGGUCCAGACUCCUACGGGAGGCAGCAGUAGGGAAUCUUCCGCAAUGGGCGAAAGCCUGACGGAGCAACGCCGCGUGAGUGAUGAAGGUCUUCGGAUCGUAAAACUCUGUUAUUAGGGAAGAACAAAUGUGUAAGUAACUAUGCACGUCUUGACGGUACCUAAUCAGAAAGCCACGGCUAACUACGUG
rnacentral:rRNA from 1 species